rnacentral:tRNA from 1 species
GAUAUAGUCGAAUGGUAAAAUUUCUCUUUGCCAAGGAGAGACGCGGGUUCAAUUCCCGCUAUCCGCCCCC